rnacentral:ncRNA from 1 species
UUCUGUUAAGCUGUAAGGGAGUGCUGCGCGCACGGGCUGACGAAGGUU